CGUAGGGGCAAGCGUUGUCCGGAUUUAUUGGGCGUAAAGAGCGUGUAGGCGGCCAUGUAGGUCCGUUGUGAAAACUCGAGGCUCAACCUCGAGACGCCGAUGGAAACCAUGUGGCUAGAGUCCGGAAGAGGAGAGUGGAAUUCCUGGUGUAGCGGUGAAAUGCGCAGAUAUCAGGAAGAACACCCGUGGCUAAGGCGGCUCUCUAGUACGGUACUGACGCUGAGACGCGAAAGCGUGGGGAGCGAACAGGAUUAGAUACCCUGGUAGUCCACGCCGUAAACGAUGGGUGCUAGGUGUAGGGGGUGUCGACUCCCUCUGUGCCGAAGCUAACGCAUUAAGCACCCCGCCUGGGGAGUACGGCCGCAAGGCUA
rnacentral:rRNA from 1 species